rnacentral:rRNA from 1 species
UUGAACGCUGGCGGCAGGCCUAACACAUGCAAGUCGAGCGGUAGCACAGAGAGCUUGCUCUCGGGUGACGAGCGGCGGACGGGUGAGUAAUGUCUGGGAAACUGCCUGAUGGAGGGGGAUAACUACUGGAAACGGUAGCUAAUACCGCAUAACGUCGCAAGACCAAAGUGGGGGACCUUCGGGCCUCAUGCCAUCAGAUGUGCCCAGAUGGGAUUAGCUAGUAGGUGGGGUAACGGCUCACCUAGGCGACGAUCCCUAGCUGGUCUGAGAGGAUGACCAGCCACACUGGAACUGAGACACGGUCCAGACUCCUACGGGAGGCAGCAGUGGGGAAUAUUGCACAAUGGGCGCAAGCCUGAUGCAGCCAUGCCGCGUGUGUGAAGAAGGCCUUCGGGUUGUAAAGCACUUUCAGCGGGGAGGAAGGCGGUGAGGUUAAUAACCUCAUCGAUUGACGUUACCCGCAGAAGAAGCACCGGCUAACUCCGUGCCAGCAGCCGCGGUAAUACGGAGGGUGCAAGCGUUAAUCGGAAUUACUGGGCGUAAAGCGCACGCAGGCGGUCUGUCAAGUCGGAUGUGAAAUCCCCGGGCUUAACCUGGGAACUGCAUUCGAAACUGGCAGGCUAGAGUCUUGUAGAGGGGGGGUAGAAUUCCAGGUGUAGCGGUGAAAUGCGUAGAGAUCUGGAGGAAUACCGGUGGCGAAGGCGGCCCCCUGGACAAAGACUGACGCUCAGGUGCGAAAGCGUGGGGAGCAAACAGGAUUAGAUACCCUGGUAGUCCACGCCGUAAACGAUGUCGAUUUGGAGGUUGUGCCCUUGAGGCGUGGCUUCCGGAGCUAACGCGUUAAAUCGACCGCCUGGGGAGUACGGCCGCAAGGUUAAAACUCAAAUGAAUUGACGGGGGCCCGCACAAGCGGUGGAGCAUGUGGUUUAAUUCGAUGCAACGCGAAGAACCUUACCUGGUCUUGACAUCCACAGAACUUAGCAGAGAUGCUUUGGUGCCUUCGGGAACUGUGAGACAGGUGCUGCAUGGCUGUCGUCAGCUCGUGUUGUGAAAUGUUGGGUUAAGUCCCGCAACGAGCGCAACCCUUAUCCUUUGUUGCCAGCGGUCCGGCCGGGAACUCAAAGGAGACUGCCAGUGAUAAACUGGAGGAAGGUGGGGAUGACGUCAAGUCAUCAUGGCCCUUACGACCAGGGCUACACACGUGCUACAAUGGCAUAUACAAAGAGAAGCGACCUCGCGAGAGCAAGCGGACCUCAUAAAGUAUGUCGUAGUCCGGAUUGGAGUCUGCAACUCGACUCCAUGAAGUCGGAAUCGCUAGUAAUCGUAGAUCAGAAUGCUACGGUGAAUACGUUCCCGGGCCUUGUACACACCGCCCGUCACACCAUGGGAGUGGGUUGCAAAAGAAGUAGGUAGCUUAACCUUCGGGAGGGCGCUUACCACUUUGUGAUUCAUGACUGGGGUG